ACAACAUGUGCUCACCCUAACUUGAUUACUAAUGAACAACAUAUUCUCCUUUUUUUAUGGGGGUAUAAAUAUUCUUGAGCUCACCAAAGGAAUAUUCUCCUCUAAUUUUGGUACAGGGAUAAUGAAACUUGCAUCGCAGAACAUGAACUAGUGGGGAUAGGAUAUGCAUAUUUAAAUAUUGGCUUAAUUGCAACUUUGGUCCCUGACAUUUAUAAAAGCCACGAUUUUGGUCCCUCACCUAAUUUAAUUACAAAAAUCGUCCCUCACCUAACACUCUGUGAACAAAGUUGGUCCGACCGUCAAUUUUUUAACGGAAGAAGCUUAUGCGGUGUUUGAAAACUUAGGUGGAAGUGCCACUGGCGUCAGAAUCAAUUUUUCCUCUCCUCUCGGCUGUUUUUUUUAUCUCAUAGUGAAGCUUUGCUGUUGGGAGGCCUAGUUGUUGGAACGCUGGGAUUGAGGUUGUGUGCUAUUCCUCUGAGUUUUUUUGUUUUUUCCUCUGAGAUGUAGAGGCAUGUGCCUCCCUCUCUCCAGUGGCACUUCCACCUAAGUUUUCAAACACCGCAUAAGCUUCUUCCGUUAAAAAAUUGACGGUCGGACCAACUUUGUUCACAGAGUGUUAGGUGAGGGACGAUUUUUGUAAUUAAAUUAGGUGAGGGACCAAAAUCGUGGCUUUUAUAAAUGUCAGGGACCAAAGUUGCAAUUAAGCCUUAAAUAUUUCAAGCAAAUGUGUUCACGUACAGGUUUCAUUUAGAAAGUAACUUAAAUUUUGAACAUAUUAUAUUUUGAACAUGUUAUAUCGAGCUUUUCUAUUCAUCUGGCUACUACUACAGCAGGGGUGGCCGGUGAUGGAUGACAUCAGUUGUUGGGAUGAAGAAGAUGAAGAGUAUAUUAAUUUAGGGUUCAAGUAAUUUGGUUAGGGUGUUUUUUUAUAAGAAAUUCCGAUAGAGUGUAAAUUAAUUAAGGAGAUAAAUGUUGAAAGUGGUGUUGAGUUGAGGAGGGUUUGGUGGUGGUGAAGUUGGAUGGGGAUUUCGGUGGUGGUGGUGGUGGUGGAGGAGAGGAGGAGGGGAAUUUCUGAGUUUUGAGAUGAAAAUAUGAAUUUUUGGGUUUUGAGAUGAUAAUGAAAUGGAGAAAGACUAAAUUUUAUCAAAGAAAUCUUCUAUCCUACAAUUAAAGGUUUUCAGUUCUUUUUUUUUUUUGUUAUGGGAGAGUAGUGGGCUGGGCCUAAUGAGUUUUUUGGUGUCCCCUUCACUGCUACUCUGCACCCUCUCUUCUUUCUCUGCACCCCAUCAAGCUUCAACCUCCCUUGCCGGCUAGACUGAAACCUAAGUCGUCCUCAAAAAACCAGCUGUGAAAUUUGCUUUACAGGUUGGUUCAUAAUUUCUUGGGUAGCUUAUAGCCUUGACUGGCACCUACUUCAUAAUCCCCGCUGAGAGCCUUAGCUUCCCCUCUUCCAGAACCUUCUCUGACGAAUAGGUAGCUUUGUUCCUACACAUGAAGCUUUAGGGAGCCAAAUUGUAUUUGUAGUUAUGAUAUACAUCAAAAGAUUUGGAGCCAAGCAUUAUCUUAAGAGCUCUUAUUUGUGUAUCUCUUAAAAUUAUUCCCAAAUUGUAUCAUUGAGUAGCUCUUAUUUGUGACUGAUAAGAGCCAAGUGGAGAAAAUAAUUGUUCUUUUUUUGUUACUUAAGUUAAAAUGAUGGUGCCUAAAAAGUAUUUUUGUUUGUGACAGACAAGAGUUCUUUAAUUCCCCUAUUUUUAUGUCUUCUCAAACUUCUGGUAGUACAUAUUUAUAUCAAUUUGAAACUUUGGUUGUGUUAUUAUUUUUCAUCCUUAUAUUGUGAAUAUAAUAGGAGUUAUAGUUGAGGUUCACAAAUCUAACAUCAAACAAUGGUAAAUUUUCAAACUGCACAGAUUCAAUGAUCUCUCGCUACAUGAAAGAAAGGAUACAUAAUUUUGAAUGAGAGGUCCAAGCAUAUGUUAUUUCGCCAGAAGAAAAGCUAAGGUUUGGGAGGGUAAGUCAAAAGCUACUAAUAGGAAUUGGAAGAAAAUAGAAGAAGAAGCAUGAUUUGCAAACUAUAUGGUGAAUCAGUGCAUUUCACGAAGCCAAUACAGGUUUCUCAUUACCAGUUGUACCCUUGUGCAAAAAAAUUACUCAUGUGUUUGACAUGUAAUUUAUAAAUAUAUCUGGUACUAAUGUUGAAAAAUUUUAGACAUUGAUGAAGUGUUACUUCUACUUUCAAUGGAGAAAAGGAGGAGAUCAGAUAAUUUAGGUGGAGAGAGGAUUGAUUGUCAUGUUUAAUUUUCUCAUCUCAUUAAUAUUAUUUUGUUGAAUAUUACUAAUCUCAUAGUACUUACACUAUGCUUUUUAUUUAUUUGAGUUCCUAGAUGUGCCUGGUGUAGCACAAUAGGAGCAGAUGAAGUGGUUCCUUCAUCAGAAACUUUGAAUCCCUUGCAACCAAGUAUUAGUAUCUGCAAACAACAUUCGAGAUUGACAAGUUGAAAAGAUGCUAAGUUUCAGUAACAUAGAAGAAGCCCAAUUAUUUUUAUAGGAGAAUAUAAUUUUUAUUUUUGAGGUUGGUUUCUUAAAAAGUUUCUUGAUUUUCUGUUCCUUAGACGGUAAAAUUCUCUGAUUUAUAUAAGCUAUGCUUUUGGUCUUUACUGGUUUUGAAAAAAUUUCAUGCGUGAGGGUCUUAUAAUAAUUGGACAUGUAGGUAUGACAUGAUAUCUUACAUGUGGUUGAGAUGUCUGGACUUUUUAUUCUUCUCAAGCUGUUAAUUAUGCUUUACAGGUUGUGUGUCUACUGCAUAGCAGCCCCCUAACCCAUCCUAUCAGACAUGUAUGCUUAUAAAUUGAACAAAUUAUUGUUGUAUAAAGGUAUUUUUAGUGAGUAACAAAGGGUUUUGUUUCACAUUUCCUCCUCAAUUUGUUGGAUGAAGUGAAUUUGAAGCCAACUUACAAGGUUCUCUGGGGCAUACCAGGCAAGCACUCUCUAACUCAUGAAUAAUAAUAACAACAAUGAUUAGAAGUUUGUUAAUGCAAUUUGUUAUCUUGCAUUUUAAAUACACUGUUUUUCUGUCUUUUCUUUUUAUAAGCCUCCUUCCUUUGUGCGUUUGUGCUGAUCUGAAGCAUCUAAAAGUUAGAGUCAAAUCGUGGAAUAUCAGCUACCCACAAAGCUCUUUUUUAAGGAUUCAAUGGAUAAGAAUAUCAUUUGAACAUGGAAUUCUUACAUUUUUGUUUUUGUAUUGCAAACUAUGAUCCUUCUCACUGAAAUAAAAAUAAAAGGUUUUAUGGCCUAAAUAGGCAUGCAUGUUUCAUUCUGUGGUGCAUUCUGGGUGGAGAAUUUUCUUAAAAUUUUAUGGCCCUAAUAAUAGACAUGUUUCAUGGAUCAUCUAAAUGAUAGACUUACAUAUAACAUGAGAUUUUCAUUAUAGGGCUCUCAAAUGCAAUCAAUAUAGCCGAGAGGUUGGGACUACCAUCUGUUAUUUGGUUACCUUUUACUUUUCCUCAUGCUUUCAUGUUAUUAUGUCUACUUUUAGGGUCUACAAACAUUUGUCCUUCAUUCCGGUCACUCAAAACAAACCUGUACCCAUUUUUCCUGCUGUAGAAUUUUUCCAAUUCCAUUCUUGGCAAUCCCAUCCUUUCAUCCACACAGCUAUCAGUGUGGCAUGAGUGGUGGAGCACUUGGUGGUUUAUAAAUUUCCAAUAUAAGGGCAGGGCAGCCAAAGGACUGUCAUGAAUGAUAACUGAAGUGAACUGAAUAUGGUUGAUGAACUUAGUUUUUACUUAGUCUAAGAUGCUAUGUGAGGUUGGUCCUUGUGAUAUGUGCUUUUCUUUCUCAAUAUGAUACACUCCUGAGGUGAUAAUGAAAUAUCCUUGUCUUUAUCAAAUUCAGAAGUGGUACUUACUUCAAUCUCUUGUGAUAUUUAUUGAGUGUACCUAAUCUCAUUUUUCGUUUCAUUUCAUUAUUCUUACUUCUCCCUCUGUAUUAUCACCCCAAUUUCUUAUUUGGGUUUUUUGUUGAAAGGUUUAACCUUGCCAUGGAGUUCUUGCCUUUAUAUACAAAUUACAAAGGGAAGCUGUUUUAACUUGCCAGCCAGAUUUUUCUUGAUACAGGAUAGACAAAGUUAUACUUUACAUAAAAAUGCACAUUGAAGUAUAGAGGUUGAAAUUUUUUGGGGAAUUUAAUGUUAGAAAUUUGAGCAUGAGUGAUAUAUGUGUUUUGGUAAAUAACUUAAUUAAGCGUUUAUUGCCUAAGCUCUUUUUACAUAAGAUCUUAUUCAUAAGCUAAUCUAAGAAACUUAUUGCAAUAGGGCAAUAGGCCUAAAAUAGCUUAUAAGUGGAUGUAAGUGUCAAUUCAUAAGCUAAUCUAAGCAGCUUAUAAAAUAAGUUCGAAACAAAUUAUAGGUAUAUCAUAAUUUUCAUAAGUCCACUCAAACACUUGCGUUAGCAUUUAUGUCAUAUGUUUAAAUAAGCUCUUCUAAACGUGGAAUAACAUGUAGAUUGAUGAGAAAAUCACCUGUU